rnacentral:rRNA from 1 species
GACGUAGGGCGCGAGCGUUGUCCGGAUUUAUUGGGCGUAAAGAGCUCGUAGGCGGCUUGUCGCGUCGGCUGUGAAAUCCCGUGGCUCAACUGCGGGUCUGCAGCCGAUACGGGCAGGCUAGAGUUCGGUAGGGGAGACUGGAAUUCCUGGUGUAGCGGUGAAAUGCGCAGAUAUCAGGAGGAACACCGGUGGCGAAGGCGGGGUCUCUGGGCCGAUACUGACGCUGAGGAGCGAAAGCGUGGGGAGCAAACAGG